CCUACGGGUGGCAGCAGUGGGGGAUAUUGCACAAUGGGGGGAACCCUGAUGCAGCGACGCCGCGUGGGUGAAGGAGUGCUUCGGCAUGUAAAGCCCUAUCUGCAGGGAAGAAGCAAGACGUUACCUUACUAAGAAGCCCCGGCUAACUACGUGCCAGCAGCCGAGGUAAUAAGGAGGGGGCGAGCGUUAUCCGGAUUCACUGGGGGUAAAGGGGGCGUAUAGGGGCAAGCAAGCCAGGGGGGAAAGCCCGGGGCCCAACCCCGGGACUGCCGUUGAAACUGCAUGGCUGGAGUGGGCGAGGGGCAGGCGGAAUGCCUGGUGUAGCGGUGAAAUGCGUAGAUAUCACGAGGAACACCGGCGGCGAAGGCAGCCUGCUGGACCGCGACUGACGUUGAAGCUCGAAAGCGUGGGGAGCGAACAGGAUUAGAUACCCGAGUAGUC
rnacentral:rRNA from 1 species